rnacentral:lncRNA from 1 species
GGGGCAGCGGGGUUGGGCUCCGGCCGGGAGUCAGACGAGGGAGCGCGCGCGCGCUCCCGGACAGUCCUCCGCAGCCACUCGCCCGAGCCUUCUACUUGGCCAACACAGCUGGCUCGACCACCUCGCAUGCCCGGUUCGUGGGCUUUCAGUUACCAAGCAUGUCCUGAAGAUGAAGAUACUCUCAGCCUAAUGUCUCCAAGCAAAUAUUGAUUCAGCAGUAUCACCCAGGCAAAGCCACACCAUAUAUCAGUGAACAGAGAAACAACUGCCCUUCUCCGGGCCCUUCUCUGAGAAGCUGGAGCAUCAGCUCUGGAGCUCUCUGGAGCGGUUUCCUAGCUCACUGCCCCCAGCUGAACACAGGACCAGAGGGGAUACUGCCUGCUCAGGAAAGCCAAGAGGAGCCUGCCUCUACUGAAAUGUAAAAAGUACACUGUGCAUAUCAAAAGCAUUAUUGUGUUUCACUGUGCAUCGCCAGAUUCUUCUUGCAAAACAUUGAAGCUUAGUUCAUAAUUUGGUGAUAAAAUAUUGAUUAUUUAUCCACAGCCGCAUGCAGAGGUCCAAAGCACGUAAACAGGAUACCCACCCUGCAUUAUCUUAUAUUUUAAGUCAAUAUGAAGAUGGACAUUCUACCCCUGAGACCAAUUUCGAUCAAAUACUUUUGUCAAUAAAAAGAUACUAAUGUC